rnacentral:misc_RNA from 1 species
CUGGCCGGAGCUAGGGCUCGGCCAUGGGAAAGAAGGGGGAAGGAGGAAGGGGAGCCGGCUGGUGGAGAUGGGAGAGCUCGGCUCCAUGCAGAUAUGGAGCUCGCCAUUUGGAGCAGUGGCAGGGGGCGUCCUUGGCUGCUGGGCGAGCUCGGCAUGGAGAAGCUGCUUGCUGCCGUGAUGCGGGAGGAAGAAGGGGCGCCCUGCUCUUGCAUGUUGGGAAGAAGGGGAGGACGCCGGGAGGGCGCCGGGCCAUGGCUGGCCGAGGGGAGGAGCUCCUGCCGUCAACCCUGCACACGCAGAGAAAGCAACGGCCAAGGGGAGAGCAGGGGGGCGCUAGGCCAAGGUCCGGCUAGAGGUGGAAGAAGGCUUGGGCGCCAUGGAGAGGAAGGGAGCCGAGCUCCCUGCGCGCUGGGGAAGAAGGUGCUGCUGCGCGUGGGGGAAGAAGACAGGGAGGCUGUGGCGGCUGGAAAUUGUUGA